GAUGAACGCUGGCGGCGUGCCUAAUACAUGCAAGUCGAACGCUUUGUCUUUAAUUGAUAUGAAGAGCUUGCUCUGAUUUGAUUUUAUCUGACAAAGAGUGGCGAACGGGUGAGUAACACGUGGGUAACCUACCUCUUAGCAGGGGAUAACAUUUGGAAACAAGUGCUAAUACCGUAUAACACUAACAACCGCAUGGUUGUUAGUUGAAAGAUGGUUCUGCUAUCACUAAGAGAUGGACCCGCGGUGCAUUAGCUAGUUGGUAAGGUAAUGGCUUACCAAGGCGAUGAUGCGUAGCCGAGUUGAGAGACUGAUCGGCCACAAUGGGACUGAGACACGGCCCAUACUCCUACGGGAGGCAGCAGUAGGGAAUCUUCCACAAUGGGCGCAAGCCUGAUGGAGCAACGCCGCGUGUGUGAUGAAGGGUUUCGGCUCGUAAAACACUGUUAUAAGAGAAGAACGACAUUGAGAGUAACUGUUCAGUGUGUGACGGUAUCUGAUCAGAAAGGAACGGCUAAAUACGUG
rnacentral:rRNA from 1 species